rnacentral:lncRNA from 1 species
CUUCCACUCGUGUCAAUUUCUUUUGUUUCUUUCUUACCCAUCCCGUCAUACACAAUCCGACAAUACCCCAUAAAAGUGUAUAGAACAAUUUCUGGGGAAGUUUAUUUUGCACGACGACACUGUACGUCACGGUCGUUCACUUGUAGGAUUAGAUUGGCUCCAUCUUCGGCAGUUUUUGUUAUUCCAUCCAGGCGUGUGCGCAAAAUUUCUUGACGUCUUUCCCCACAGAUUUACUUUUUCUUAUGUGAUCCAUGCAAUCCUGUACAUCUGUAGAAACCUGUUCCAUCGCCAAUUGGAUCGUUUCCAUGUUACCGUGCGCUUUCUCGAAGGCUUAGAAACCUUCGUCUGCGAUUUGCGUCAUAGUUGAGCAGAAACUAUGUGGAUGUUUGAUUAAAGGGGUGUCCUUUUUGGUCGAUCUGAUCGAUUCCGACAUUAGACAGCUGAGAUGCGGAAAUGAUCAGUUGGACGUCAAAAGCGAUGCCCAUGGGGGUCAGGGCAAUAAUUUCAUUCCACUCUGUGUACUCUGAAAGCCUCCAUUUUCCAUCCUUCGUCCACGUGUCUUAUUGAGCAGAAAAUGGCCUCGACUAAUCUAACCAGCGCUGCAGUCGACGCUGAACUCGGAAUGAAAUUAUUGCUCCGACCCCCAUGGGCAUUGCUUUUGACAUCCAGCUGGUCAUAUCCGCAUCUCAGCUGUCUGAUGUCGGAAUCGACCAGAUCGACAAAAAGGACAUCCCUUUAAUCAAACAUCCACAUAGUUUCUGCUCAACUAUGACGCAAAUCGCAGACGAAGGUUUCUCAGCCUUCGAGAAAGCGCACGGUAACAUGGAAACGAUCCAAUUGGCGAUGGAACGGGUUUCUACAGAUGUACAGGAUUGCAUGGAGCACAUAACGAAGAAGUAAACCUGUGGAGGAAGACGUCAAGAAAUUAUUGCGCACACGCCUGGAAGGAAUAACAAAAGCUGCCAAAGAAGCAGCCAAACUAAUCCAAGAAGUUUACGAGAACAAGCACAGAGGAAUUCUGCCAGUAUCGAAGAACUGUAAGUCUUCAUUCAACGACAGUUGGAAUUCUGCCAAAACAUCUGCUACACCGCUCAAAUGUACGUCCAAGUAUCGGACAAGCACAUCAUGAAGAGCAACACUCAUGUGCCGUUAGAGCUCACUCUAGCUCUGGGUGAGCAUGAAGAAAACAGACUUUCAUAAUCUCGGACAGCAUGUGAAGAAAUGGCAAUAAGAAAAUAUGUAAAUGGAUGACAAGGCUUCAAUAAUCAUCGAGCUGCUCAACAUAAACCCAAAUCUCUUGUUCAGCACGCACUGGAAAGAUUUUCGCUCAAAUAUCUCAUUGUCCAUUUUUCAUUGUUUUCUAUAACUGAUGUGUCCAACGCAAACGAAAAGAUUUUCGCUUACUAUUUUUAUUUUAUUUCCUUUUGGAUUAUCUGUUUUCAAGCCUAUUUGUGUAAUUCUAAACUUCCUUGAAAAGAAAACAAUCAUUUAUACAUUUAUACUCUAUA